ACACAAUGUUGGUCAUGAGAUGCAAAAAAACCUUUCCACAAAGCAACGUCUAAGAGCACAGUAUGAUGAAUUUACUGGAUUCACUUUUCUUCAAAAGGACCAGAAUCAACUGGAAACUCAGAAACAUGGAAGUAUCUCCAGUUAGAGAUGACUAUGACUUUCGGAAGACUCUCUUCAUGCGAAGUAUCUCUCCCAGCUUCCAAGAUGCAGAGCAUCACCGCUCCAAGGAAAGCUGCUCUUGGGAACAGUGAAAGCAGCAGAGCAGGAAUUGCUCACAGCAGAAAAA